rnacentral:rRNA from 1 species
UACGUAGGGGGCAAGCGUUGUCCGGGAUUAUUGGGCGUAAAGAGCUCGUAGGCGGUUUGUCGCGUCUGCUGUGAAAACUCGAGGCUCAACCUCGGGCUUGCAGUGGGUACGGGCAGACUAGAGUGCGGUAGGGGUGACUGGAAUUCCUGGUGUAGCGGUGGAAUGCGCAGAUAUCAGGAGGAACACCGGUGGCGAAGGCGGAUCUCUGGGCCGUAACUGACGCUGAGGAGCGAAAGCAUGGGUAGCGAACAGG